GAAUAAUUUUCAUAUUCCUGAUAUUUUAUAAACAAAAAAUUCUAAGGUUUAAAUUUUUUAUUGAUGAAUGAAAACAUUCAAUUUUGAGGAUUAUAAUGUAAUUUUAUUUUUUAGCAUGGAAGCGCUAAAUUAAUGUAUUUUUCUAUGAAGAUACUUUUCUUUCUUUUUGUAUGAGUUAUUGUUUUUUUGGUCUCAAAUUAUAUGUCAUAAUUUUUUCUAUAUAAUAUACAGGCUUCUUCUCUCAAUGUGUACUUAUUUUAGAUUAAUUGGAAGAAUCCAUUGCCUUUAAGCAUAUAUAUCAAGUAAAAAUGGCAGUGCCCUCUGGUUCCAUUGUGAAAAUAGCAAGGUUACUUGUACAUGUUUACCCGAAAUUUAAACCUCUAAAAUAAGUACACAUAUUUUUUUCUAAAAUCGUUGUAUUUUCAUUUUGUUUUUUCUGAAGAGUGACAUGAAAUAAAAGUUUAAAAAUAUUUUUC
rnacentral:misc_RNA from 1 species